UGCUCAACCAAUGGAGCCACCAACGUGACCCAGAACCCUUCUCAUUCUCCUUAGCACUUAGCGCUGUAUCCUCAUUGAGAAGAUGCCCUUUGAACAAAGACCUGAAGAAUGGCCUGCAGAUGUCUCUGGAAAAUCGUCCAGUUUCUCCGAGGACCAGGGUUAAGAACAUGUGGAAAUAUUUAUGUGGUGAAAUGAAUACUGGAACAAGAGCUACAAGAAUUGAAUUUUAGUGUUAUCGUCUGCCAACAAACCACGCAUCUUUGAGUAAAGCCAUGCAGCAUCCCUGGCCCAGAUUGUUAAGAAAAAAUGAGGCUGUUCAAUUGGAUGUCUUAAAUAUGUUUUCUAGCUUAAAGGUGAUGGUAUUAGAAGGUGGAGCUUUGGGAGGUGCUGAAGUCUCUAGGGUGAAGCCCUGAUGAAUGGGAUUAGUGCCUUAUAAAAGGGGCUUCGCAGAGCCCCCCUCCCCUCCCUGCCGUGUCGGGAUCCGAUCAGAUGCCUGCCACCUGGAAGAAGGCCUUCGCUGACCGUGCUGGCGCCUUGAUCUCGAACUCCCAGUCUCCAGAACGAGUGUGACUCCCACUGCGUCAGCUGUUCAGUUGGAGAAAGGCCACUCAAUUAUCCAGCCACAAUAUACAAUGUAAUUGACAAUCAUCCUUGGGCUGAGACAUUUUCUCCUUGGAGACUCCCCUGAUUGAAGUUGGGCUACGU